rnacentral:tRNA from 13 species
GCGGGCGUGGCGAAACUGGUAGACGCACUAGACUUAGGAUCUAGUGCCGCAAGGCGUGGGGGUUCGAGUCCCUUCGCCCGCA